UAAAGAUUCAUCGCUGAUAGAUAGGCAUGCGUUCCAUUAGGCAGUUGGCGGGGUAACGGCCCACCAAACCGACGAUGGAUAGGGGUUCUGAGAGGAAGGUCCCCCACAUUGGUACUGAGACACGGACCAAACUCCUACGGGAGGCAGCAGUGAGGAAUAUUGGUCAAUGGGCGUAAGCCUGAACCAGCCAAGUCGCGUGAGGGAUGAAGGUUCUAUGGAUCGUAAACCUCUUUUAUAAGGGAAUAAAGUGCGGGACGUGUCCCGUUUUGUAUGUACCUUAUGAAUAAGGAUCGGCUAACUCCGUGCCAGCAGCCGCGGUAAUACGGAGGAUCCGAGCGUUAUCCGGAUUUAUUGGGUUUAAAGGGUGCGUAGGCGGCCUUUUAAGUCAGCGGUGAAAGUCUGUGGCUCAACCAUAGAAUUGCCGUUGAAACUGGGAGGCUUGAGUAUGUUUGAGGCAGGCGGAAUGCGUGGUGUAGCGGCGAAAUGCUUAGAUAUCACGCAGAACCCCGAUUGCGAAGGCAGCCUGCCAAGCCAUGACUGACGCUGAUGCACGAAAGCGUGGGGAUCAAACAGGAUUAGAUACCCUGGUAGUCCACGCAGUAAACGAUGAUCACUAGCUGUUUGCGAUACAGUGUAA
rnacentral:rRNA from 1 species